UUUGUUUCACCAUUUUGCAUUUAUUGAAGAGGAAGGUUGGAGGGGGGUUGGAGGGGGGAAGCGAAUACAAAAGCACAACCGAGCUACAUGUCGAUGCCACGCUACGUUUCUGUGUGUCGCUGGUGACUGAUGGCAGGUGACGGAAUGCUCCUGGUUCCUCUAAGCAACUCUGAUCCUACUCAGACGGGUUAAUAACCGGCUCCCAAGCUGCUCAUCUAUAGCUGCCAUUGGCUCAGGGGAGGAGGGGGGAAACAGCAAGACAACAGCAUGACAUGACGAGGACAUGAAGGAAACCUAAGUGAUGUUAGAGACAGACAGGUCUGCUGAAGAUGGCACAUUAUUAAGAGGAAAAAAAAUCCCUUCUGGAUGCUUUUGUGAUGUUCAACACAUUCUGGGGGCCUUUUAGUGACAGAAAAAUGUUACAUUUAGCCUCAUUUUCUGCUAAUGAGUUUCAUUUUUGAUGGAUUUCUCAGUGACAGGUUUAAAAAAAAAAGAGAGGCGAUGAAAACCGAAGCUGAAAUCUCUCCAUCAUAUCUGUCGUGUGUGAAGCUAUGAAGCGUCGUCGUCGGGAGCGUUUUCAUGGAAAGCUUUUUCCUUUUAAAGUCCUUCAGAAAGUAAGUGCACUUCCCUGUUAAUGCACUUCAGAGUUGGCGAAGAACCUGCCGACACUUCACAAAGGUCACAAGUAGUUUGAGUCAGCAGCACAUUUCAGACAGAUUUAUUGAAUAUAGGUGCUAAAAGGUUGAAUGUAGUUCUUGUAAACCUGCAUCCGGUUAGUAUUGAUGUGAACUCUUCUCCCUCAUGUAAGACUCGACGAAGACGGACACAAUUAACCACAGGGUUAGAGACAAAAUAUAAACACGGGAAAUAAACUCAUCCACGGAUUGGUAGAAAGAAAACAUCACAAUUAAAAAACAAAACACGGAGAUAAACAGCCUUAUGAACUGUAAAGGCAACUUUUCUUACAACACAAAAGAAGCAAAUGUAACUUUGAAGCUGAAGAUUUAACGAUUUAAAAAGACACAAACUAUAAAAAGCAUCAUGAAAAUUAAAAAAAAAAAGAUGAGGGUUGAUUUAAUGAGACGUUGUUGGACGCAUGCCUCGUCUAAGCUUAUGCACAAUGUUUAAACAACACCUCAACAUUUAGUUUUCUCUCGAAGAGUGAGGCAACGCUCUCCUGUUUGUGUGGUAAACAUGAGGCAGAGUUAGCAUAGCUUAGCACAAAGACUGAAAACAAAGGGAAACUACUAGCAUGGCUCUCUUCUAGCGUCACAUCUGUUGUGACCAUUUAAGUUGCAACGAUUAACCCUCCUGUUGUCUCCAUUUAUGGACACCAAAAAAUAUUGUUUCCUUGUCUGAAAAAAAAAAUUUAGCAAAAAAGUCCCCCAAAUUUCUGUAAAUUUGGAAAACCUUCAGGAAGAAAAUUCCAAUAAUUCCUUAAAAGUUUUAUGUAAAAAAAUUCCCCAAAUUUGGCCAGAAAAUUAUUUUAAAUAUUUGGAAAAAAUGAGUAAAAAUCUUCCAAAAAAAUCCUAAAAAUAUCUAAAGUGAUUCCAUAUAUAUUAAUAAAACUUCUGAUAUUUUCUUUAAGAACAUUCACAAUAAAAUCAAAUCAAAGUGAAUUUCGCUGGAUUUUGGUUGUUGUCUGGUUGUUCUUAAGAAACUUUUUUUUUCCCACUAAAAAAUGUUAAAAAAUUUCCCAGAAAUGUUGAUAACGUGGACAUCAGAAGUUUCACUGUGAAAAUAUUCAGUUCAAUUCUAUUCUAUUUAUAUAGCGCCAAUUACAGGUCAAAUUGUCUCAAGAAAAAUAUAUUUUCUUCCACAUUUUCAAACUUUAAAACAGGUCAGUUUGACCCGCAGGACGACACGAAGGUUAACUGAUGAAUCCAUUAAUUGGUAGCUAAUACAUUUUUAUAACCAAUGAAUGAGUUUAAGUAGUUUUUAAGAAGAAAAAAAAUCUAAAUACUCUCAUUCCAGCUUCUUAAAUUCAACAUUUUCUGAUUUCCUUCUUCCUCCAUGACAGUAAACUUUUAUCUUUGGCUUGUGGACAAAAACAAGACAUUUGAGGAUGUCAUCUUGGGAGUUUUCUGACAUUUUAUAUCUAAAAAAACCAAACAAUUAAUCAAGAAGCUUAUCACUGGAAUCAAAAUUAUUGUGAGUUAAAGCCCCAUUUAUAAUUAUGAGCAUCCUCGAUUAGAAUUAAAAUGUCCUGCUUAAACAAAAAUUUGAAAAACUUGCUCUUACUGUUUCCCCUUGUUAUCAGUCUAACCUGCUACAUCUGGAGCAUCACAUUUAGAACACAGACGUGAAUCUUCAAUCAAUUUUCAAGCUUAUUUCACCAAAACAUUGAAGUAUUCCUUUCGGAAAAUCGGAAAUGUUGAUCCAAAUCAAUAAAUAUUGAGAUUGUCAAUAAAAUAAAAUCAGUUUUCAAUCAGUCACAGUCUGAACAAAAAGGCUGUCCUGCUCGCAGCUCUAAUUCACAAGUAGUGACAAUGUGCAACAUUUAGAUUUAGUCGCUUUGGACGGCAGGAGAUAAACCUCUGAAAUGGAAAUGACUUGUGUCAUUGUCGUUGCUGGUGGGGGGGAUUCUCCCUCCGGUACCUUUAAAGAGCUUCUGGACACAUUCAGAUCUACAUACAACUUUAGAUAAAUAUUUAUAUUCACAAGGAAGCCAGUCCUACAAAGCAGACAUUCCUCUGCGGUCCUGUACGUUCUAUGCAGUUAACAUCAUUUAAAGAAUAUAAAUAGCUUAUUUUUUCCCCCCAAAUCUAGUUAAAAAAAAGAAAAAAAAAGAAAAAACUCAACGGGCAAACACAGCUACACAUUUUCACACACAAACAAAAAAAGGAAAACAUGAGCUUAAAAUGGGCUGUUCUAGCUUGUAUACAGUGGUAAAACCUUAGAGGUAGAAAAAGUAUUUUAAAAAAUCAUAACAAAACCAAACGAAGGACACAGAAAACAGGUUUGUGAGCUGCAGAUUUUCUCAGGACAAAACCGUGGACAUCAUGAAGCAACACGGAUGAAAUAAAAAAGGGGGGACAGGUGGAAACAGGACACAUCCAGGUAGAUUCCUCCCUGGUGAUGGUCCAGUGGCAGCUAUAGCUUCCUGGUGAACCGACUGACUGGUGAGAUGGACAAACACUGAACACGACGCUUGUUUGUUGCAGGAGACAGAAGCUGAUUUACUGGUUAGUUCUGGGUUCAAACAGCCACUGAUCGUCUGUAAACAAGAUUCCACUGCAUCUCUAGGAGAAGUUCAUGUUGAAGUCUUUUCCGGUGGGAACUCCCCAUCUGAGUGGUAAAUUGAGGUCAGGGCUCCUAUUCUUAGAAACCUGACGCUCGGCCAGGCCUUGUCCUGUUUA
ensembl:lncRNA